rnacentral:rRNA from 1 species
UACGUAGGGUGCGAGCGUUAAUCGGAAUUACUGGGCGUAAAGCGUGCGCAGGCGGUUGGUCGUGUCCUGUGUGAAAGCCCCGGGCUUAACCUGGGAAUGGCAUGGGAGAACCGGCUAGCUGGAGUGUGGCAGAGGGGGGUGGAAUUCCGCGUGUAGCAGUGAAAUGCGUAGAGAUGCGGAGGAACACCGAUGGCGAAGGCAGCCCCCUGGGCUGACACUGACGCUCAGGCACGAAAGCGUGGGGAGCAAACAGG